AAGCCUCUGCACAGCAUAGGUGCUGAGCUUUCAUAUGGUAAAGUGGUUGAAACAAAAGUUUCUGAGCGUUGAGAAGGAAGCAUAGCAAUACCAGAAACAAUCUAUCCUGGCAGAGUCUGAAUUGUAUUGCUCUCACGUCUGUGGAACAAUUUUGUUAAUAGUUUC